rnacentral:rRNA from 1 species
GACGAACGCUGGCGGCGUGCUUAACACAUGCAAGUCGAACGGAAAGGCCCUGCUUGCAGGGUACUCGAGUGGCGAACGGGUGAGUAACACGUGGGUGAUCUGCCCUGCACUUCGGGAUAAGCCUGGGAAACUGGGUCUAAUACCGGAUAGGAGCCAUUUUUAGUGUGAUGGUUGGAAAGUUUUUUCGGUGUAGGAUGAGCUCGCGGCCUAUCAGCUUGUUGGUGGGGUAAUGGCCUACCAAGGCGGCGACGGGUAGCCGGCCUGAGAGGGUGGACGGCCACAUUGGGACUGAGAUACGGCCCAGACUCCUACGGGAGGCAGCAGUGGGGAAUAUUGCACAAUGGGCGCAAGCCUGAUGCAGAGACGCCGCGUGGGGGAUGACGGCCUUCGGGUUGUAAACUCCUUUCGCUAGGGACGAAGCUUUUUGUGACGGUACCUAGAUAAGAAGCAACGGCUAACUACGUG